GGGGAAAAGAAACCAACAGGGAUUGCCUUAGUAACGGCGAGUGAAGCGGCAAAAGCUCAAAUUUGAAAUCUGGCACCUUCGGUGUCCGAGUUGUAAUUUGAAGAAGGUAACUUUGGAGUUGGCUCUUGUCUAUGUUCCUUGGAACAGGACGUCACAGAGGGUGAGAAUCCCGUGCGAUGAGAUGCCCAAUUCUAUGUAAAGUGCUUUUGAAGAGUCUAGUUGUUUGGGAAUGCAGCUCUAAGUGGGUGGUAAAUUCCAUCUAAAGCUAAAUAUUGGCGAGAGACCGAUAGCGAACAAGUACAGUGAUGGAAAGAUGAAAAGAACUUUGAAAAGAGAGUGAAAAAGUACGUGAAAUUGUUGAAAGGGAAGGGCUUGAGAUCAGACUUGGUAUUUUGCGAUCCUUUCCUUCUUGGUUGGGUUCCUCGCAGCUUACUGGGCCAGCAUCGGUUUGGAUGGUAGGAUAAUGACUAAGGAAUGUGGCUCUACUUCGGUGGAGUGUUAUAGCCUUGGUUGAUACUGCCUGUCUAGACCGAGGACUGCGUCUUUUGACUACGAUGUUGGCAUAAUGAUCUU
rnacentral:rRNA from 1 species